rnacentral:rRNA from 1 species
UGCCAUGCUUCCAGGAAAAGCCUCUAAGCUUCAGAUUGUAAGGAAUCGUACCCCAAACCGACACAGGUGGUCGGGUAGAGAAUACCAAGGCGCUUGAGAGAACUCGGGUGAAGGAACUAGGCAAAAUGGUACCGUAACUUCGGGAGAAGGUACGCUCUCGACGGUGAAGUCCCUUGCGGAUGGAGCUAUUGAGAGUCGCAGAUACCAGGUGGCUGCAACUGUUUAUUAAAAACACAGCACUGUGCAAAAUCGUAAGAUGACGUAUACGGUGUGACGCCUGCCCGGUGCCGGAAGGUUAAUUGAUGGGGUUAGACUUCGGUCGAAGCUCUUGAUCGAAGCCCCGGUAAACGGCGGCCGUAACUAUAACGGUCCUAAGGUAGCGAAAUUCCUUGUCGGGUAAGUUCCGACCUGCACGAAUGGCGUAAUGAUGGCCACGCUGUCUCCACCCGAGACUCAGUGAAAUUGAAAUCGCUGUGAAGAUGCAGUGUACCCGCGGCUAGACGGAAAGACCCCGUGAACCUUUACUACAGCUUGGCACUGAACAUUGACCCUACAUGUGUAGGAUAGGUGGGAGGCUUUGAAGCACGUACGCCAGUAUGUGUGGAGCCGUCCUUGAAAUACCACCCUUGUAGUGUUGAUGUUCUAACGUCGACCCCUUAUCGGGGUUGCGGACAGUGCCUGGUGGGUAGUUUGACUGGGGCGGUCUCCUCCCAAAGAGUAACGGAGGAGCACGAAGGUGGGCUAAUCACGGUUGGACAUCGUGAGGUUAGUGCAAUGGCAUAAGCCCGCUUGACUGCGAGAAUGACAAUUCGAGCAGGUGCGAAAGCAGGUCAUAGUGAUCCGGUGGUUCUGAAUGGAAGGGCCAUCGCUCAACGGAUAAAAGGUACUCCGGGGAUAACAGGCUGAUACCGCCCAAGAGUUCAUAUCGACGGCGGUGUUUGGCACCUCGAUGUCGGCUCAUCACAUCCUGGGGCUGAAGUCGGUCCCAAGGGUAUGGCUGUUCGCCAUUUAAAGUGGUACGCGAGCUGGGUUUAGAACGUCGUGAGACAGUUCGGUCCCUAUCUGCCGUGGGCGUUGGAAGAUUGAAGGGGGCUGCUCCUAGUACGAGAGGACCGGAGUGGACGAACCUCUGGUGUUCGGGUUGUGUCGCCAGACGCAUUGCCCGGUAGCUAAGUUCGGAAUCGAUAACCGCUGAAAGCAUCUAAGCGGGAAGCGAGCCCUGAGAUGAGUCUUCCCUGAUACUUUAAGUAUCCUAAAGGGUUGUCGGAGACUACGACGUUGAUAGGUCAGGUGUGUAAGUGCUGUGAGGCAUUGAGCUAACUGAUACUAAUUGCCCGUGAGGCUUAACCAU